rnacentral:rRNA from 1 species
UACGAAGGGUGCAAACGUUGCUCGGAAUUAUUGGGCGUAAAGCGCACGUAGGCGGUAUGGCAAGUCGGAUGUGAAAUCCCUCGGCUUAACCAAGGAAGUGCAUCCGAAACUGCUGUGCUUGAGUACGAAAGAGGAUCGCGGAAUUCCCGGUGUAGAGGUGAAAUGCAUAGAUAUGUCACAGAACACCGAUUGCGAAGGCAGCUUACUAAAGUGUGAUUGACGCUGAGGCACGAAAGCGUGGGGAUCAAACAGG